CCGCCCACAUCCUGCUGAUUGGUCCAUUUUACAGAGUGCUGAUUGGUCCAUUUUACAAAGUGCUGAUUGGUGUGUUCACCAUCUUUUAACUAGACCCAGAGCACUGAUUGGUGCAUUUACAGUCCUUUAGCUAGACACAAAAGUUCUCCAAGUCCCCACCUGACCCAGAAGCUCAGCUGGCUUCACCUCUCAGUAUGGGUGGGGAACCUACUUGUUUUCAGUUUAUGAAAGUAGGUUUUCAGGAAAAGCAAACCUGUGGUAGAAACUUGUUGGAAAUGUAAUGGAACCUGGAAUGUUCCAUUAAUCACAAGACUUCUGUGUGAUUGCUCAGAGCUCUAAAAGUAGAUACAACGGCCUUGUCAUCUGUAAUUUUUUUUUGUUUUUGGUCAUUUUUAGGUGAAAUAUUUGAUAGUGCUUUAUACUUUCUACCCUUUUUAGGGCAUGGUAAAUGUAUUUGUUCGACUGACAGCUACUGCAAGAAGCAAACCCUCACAUGCAUCAUUGCUUUUUUUUUUUAUGCUCAGGUGACUCCAGAACAGGUUUUACUAAUAUGUGGGCAGCUCUGUGUAGUAGCUCUUGCCAUGUUAGUGUUGCUAUAUUUAGUUCCUCCUAUUCAAGGUUGCUAUGCUUGUCGGCAUCAAGCAGGAGGAGAAAAGACCCUGGUGGAAGGGGCAUGGGAAGUCUUGUGGACCAGGCCGGAAGUGGCACCUCAUUGGCCACAGCUCCGUCCCAUCUCUGGUAGAGAAAGAGAGUUGAGCAGUGUGUUGGGAAGAAGCAGAAGCAAGCUGGGUACUAACAUCCUUUAAAAUUAGAUAGUUUUUUUUUUUUUAAUGUACUUCGAGUAUGUUCUAGAAAGCUAUUUCCUUGGAUACCUCCCUUUUGCGAUGAAGAAGUGGCAGCUCACAGAAUUGAGUGACUUGCUCAGGGUCACAGAGCGUCAGGUGACAGUGUGUGGUCUGGAAUCCAGGCCUUAUCCAUUACCUUGUCCCGUACUUUGUCUUUCCACGAGUUUUUGAGUGUGGCCAGCAGUCCUACCUCUAGACUUUUCUGCGUGUGCCAUGCCAGCUUUUGGGAGGAUUACAGUCAUCACCACCAUCUGAAGAGGUACUGGGGACCUCAGCUCCCCCAUGACAGCAAACAUACCCAGGGAGAGGGGGCUGUGGGGAUACUCAGUGGAUGAUUAGGGUUUUUAGAAUCUGUUGGGAAGGGGAAGAGGUAUACAUUAAAAUUGAGUGCCCUAGAGAACAGGAGAAUUGGAGAGAAGACACAUGAUUAAAGAGAAACGCAUAUGCAGACCCCUCUCCCACCACCAGCAUCCCAGUGCUUGGGAAACCCAAAGCCAAGCCCUGGCUCCUCAGGGAUCCCCAAAGGAAACAUUUAUCCCCCUGGAUGUUUGGAUGUCCCGUAAUGAUUUAGAGGCCUGAGAUCCUGCUCAAAUCCCUGGAUUCUAUGUGGUAUUGAAGAAGGACUUUUAAAACUAGACCUGACAGGUCCAAAUAAAUAUCCUCCAUUGUGAGGAACAAUCUCAUUUGGGCCUCUGAGGCUCUCUAAAAAUAUCCUUCAUUGACUGUUCACUUUAGAAUCCAGGAUUGAGACUCCCACCCCACCCCCUAACUUCCCUUCCCUUUUGUUUUUCUAUGUUGCCUGCUCAUCCUUCCUCCUCUCACCAGCCUGGCCUUGCCUAGGGAGUGGGAGUUGGCAGGGCUUGCCUACCAGGAGGGUUUUGUUGAGAGGCACCAAGUCCAAAGGAAUCUUUUGUCUACAGGUGCACUUGAAUUGUGGGCAGCCAGCAGGGUGUGUGUGUGUGUGUGUGUGUGUGUGUGUGUGGAGGGAAAUUCGUAGGAGUGAGUGUGGGUGUGCACACCUGCUCUAAAUUGCUUCUACUGCCAGAAUGUACUCCUGGAGGGAUCAGGAAGGAGUAAGCCCUUAGUCGAUUGAGCCAGUCCAGCCCUGAGGACAUUGAUUCCAGCUCCUUGCUUUCAUUGAAGGGAGGAGAGAAACUCAAAUAGGAGCCCUCAAGGAGAUUGUGUGAAGCUUUCUGAAUUCGGUGUCAUUUUCAUGCAAUUUUGUUAAGAACUGGUGUAUUUCAUCCCCUCCUGGUUCAUUCCGUGAGUCAUCCAGAAGGCAUCAGAGCCUCGUCAUUUUGGCAGCCGCAGGGCAUUUGUGCCCAGCGAAUUAUGGGCAGCUCUGAUCUGAAGUAACAAGGUUGAGUCGAGAUAGGUUGAGAAAUGACCCAGACAGAAACAGGGGCCUCGGCUGGCAGCCCCAGCCACACCAUAACUGCACCCGUAGCUCAGAUGAGGUCAGGACAUUUUUGCUUUGUGACAGAUUUGGGACGCAGAGAAAAGAGUUCAGGCUUUGUACUGACCGAGGCCAGCACUGACACCAGUGCAGACAAAGAGGUUUGUAGCCAGGGGAGUGGAGGGACGGACAGCUCAGAUUUUAGCUGACGAUGAUUCUCAUGGCCUGUGUACAAGUUCCCACUAAUGUAUCAUCAGUACCAGCAUCUCUGAGGAAGAUGUUUUUCCCACUGUGCACAAUGCAACAUCACUGUCCCCAGGGUACAUGGGACAGAAAAAUCCCUGUUAGAACUGGGCACAAAACUGCGCUUCUGAACAUUUCAGGAUAUGAUCCUUUCAGGAUACUGUGUCUAGCACCCAAAUUUUGAGGACUCAAGUUUUCAUUAAAGCAACAGGCAGUGAUGAUGAUGUGCUUUCCAAAUGCAAAUUGUAGGAACAUUUAAUUAAAUGGGACCCUUAGGAGCAGUAACCAUUCUCAGAUCCCAGUUAACCUGGUGUAUUAGAAUGUCUCAGCAGUGGAAGGAAUUCAUGCCUGGGCUUUGGUGAUGCUUCUCAAACAGAGCAUCUGGCACUGUUCGUGGAAAAAGGACUGAGGUGCCGUUGUGGGGACAUAACGCAGAAGCGUUGCCACAGGAUAAAGACAGCACUCGACAUAUAAUAAAAAUCAAUAUGGAUAAGACACCUAUUACACAGAUAAUCCCAUAUGAAAUAAAUUAAACCCGUUUUACAGAUGGA